AUCUGGGGUGCUACUUUCAAGGUAAAAUGAAGACUGUUGUAUUGGUUAACAUCUGCAACAAAAGAAGAUUGAUAUUUUUUACUAAUUAGUAGAUUGUAAUUCUCCAAAACUUACAUGGACGCAUGAAUUUCUUUUUGGCAGUGACCAUUAGUGGUCCAACUGAGCCACCAGUUCAUAAUAAAUAAAUACACUGUCUCAACAGCUUUUCUUGAUUAUUGAUUCUUCAUUUUAUGAUGGUAAUUGUGAAUUUUGGUGGGAUGAAUUUCAGGUGGAAGGGCCAGCAAUUCUUG
rnacentral:misc_RNA from 1 species